rnacentral:lncRNA from 1 species
GAAGGCUCAAACGUACCCACCAGAAGUCGUCUUACAGCAUGAAGAAAAGAAUGAAGCAAGGAACGAAGCAAAAAUAUUGGUGAGGGACAGCGAGAUGAAUCUUCCUGAUGAUGGAUAGUCUGUGAUGACUUUCCUGAGAAUCAGGAACAAAAGAAGAUCACAAACCCACCAUUAUUUCCAGGGCUGUUUCAAGGUCUUGUUUUUGCAUGGAAUCAGUGCGAAUACUUCAUUGUGUCAAGUCACUGUGGUCCAGGAUGCUUCAGUCAUCGCCCUGCCAGCCUGAAGGGAUUCAUUUUCUGAAGAGUGCCAAGGAGGUUGGAGAGUAUUCUGAGGUAGCCAGUGCCGGGGGACACCUGAAUCUGCUGCAUGAAAGUGAAAGAUUGGAACUUGGAGAGAAAACGGAAUGAACUCCUUGGGAUGAGAAGACAAGGAAAAAUAUUUGAGAUUUAAUUUUGCGAUCUUUU